rnacentral:rRNA from 1 species
UGAUACGCCACCUGACGGAUGGCUCGGCUUGGGCGCUGACGAAGGGCGUGGCAAGCUGCGAUAUGCUCCGGGUAGGCGCACGCGGCCUUAGAUCCGGAGAUACCCGAAUGGGACUUCCCACCACAGGUCAUACUGUGGUACUCCCACAUGGGAGGAGAAACCCUCCGAACGGAAGCAUCCAAGUAGGAGGAGGAAGAGAAACCAAAAUGGGAUUCCCAGAUUAGCGGCGAGCGAAAUGGGAACAGUCCAAACCGAACCCUGACGAGAAACCGUUGGGGGAUGUAGUGUUGUAGGGCCCGGCCGCUUUCUCGCAGUUGAAGUCGAAAUGGCCUGGAACGGCCUGCCGUAGAGGGUGAUAGCCCCCUAGACGUAAAAUUGCAGAAUUAGGGCUGGAGUCCCUGAGUACCGCACCCCGGUUUGGGUGCGGGAAUCUGGAAGAAAGCAACUUCCAAGACUAAAUACGUCCCAAGACCGAUAGCGCACUAGUACCGCGAGGGAAAGCUGAAAAGUACCCCGGAAGGGGAGUGAAAAGUGCCUGAAAUCAGGUGGUUACAGACGUGUACGGUCCGUAAGGGUAGAUCCUCCCUGAAGGAGGCUGUGGUGACGCAGCAUUACGAGGGGAGGGGACUAGGAUUGUACGUUCCGUUUAGUACCAUGGGCCGGGGAGUUCAUCUUUGUGGUGAGGCUAAAGGCUGUAUGGCCUGGAGUCGCAGGGAAACCAAUUGUCCGUAGCGCGGAUUCUCAUGAAACGUGAGGGACAAGGUCUGAAAGGGCCUGUAAUCACAGGGAUGACACUAGAAACCGAGUGAUCUAGCCCUGAGUAGGAUGAAGCCGGGCGAAAGCUCGGUGGAGGUCCGAAGGGGUGUUGACGUGCAACUCACUCCCAUAACUUGGGGCUAGGGGCAAAAGACCAAUCUAACUCGGUGAUCGCUAGUUCCCGCCGAAAUAUCUCUAAGGAUAGCCCGGUUGGAGGCUGCUGGUGGGGUAGAGUCCUGAUUGGGGAACAAGGAGCCGAAAGGCUCCACUCUCCAUUCAAACUUCGAAUCCAUUAGCGCCGCAGAAGACCGGAGUCGGGCUUGGGGGGUAAGCUCCUAGGCCGCGAGGGGAACAACCCAGGCUUGGGUUAAGGCCCCAGAAUCCUGGCUAAGUGUAGAAAUUGAAAGCCGUCCUCAACCGGAGACAGCUGGAAGGUAGGCUUAGAAGCAGCCAUCCUCCAAGCAGUGCGUAACAGCUGACCGGCCGAGGUUGGGGGCGCCGAAAAUAUACGGGACUAAGCCAGGUGCCGAUACCCAGGGACACGGGGUCAAACCCGUGUCGGUAGGCGGGCGCGGCGUUCGGGCGGAAGCUGGGCCGUGAGGUCCAGUGGACCGUUCGCUGUUGCAGAUCCCGGUGGUAGUAACAGCCAUAGAGGGGUGAGAAUCCCCUCCGUCGAAGGGGCCAGGGUUCCCCGGCAAUGCGUCGUCAGCCGGGGGUAAGUCGGUCCUAAGACAUGCCUUAACCGGCCAUGUCGAAAGGGAAACAGGUUAAGAUUCCUGUACCGGAGAGGUACACGCGGCAACGCAAGCCUCUGACCUGACGCUUCCGGAUAGGCUGAGUGAGAUCGUCGUCUCAUCUAACCUCUGAAGCCUGGGGAGUACCGUAAUGGUGAGAACCAGGCGAAGAAGGGAAUGGCCUCCCGUCUUAGGGGGGUUCAGCUGAUUCCAGGAGCCAAGGAAAAGGGUCAGGGGAUGGACCCUCUCCGUCCGUACCAAGAUCCGACACAGGUGCCCCUAGGUGAGAAGCCUAAGACGUAUCGGGUGGAACUCAGGCGAGGGAACUCGGCAAAUUAGCCCCGUAACUUCGGGAAAAGGGGUGCCUGAACCCCUAGCUCUGCUGGGAGUUCAGGUCGCAGUGACAAGGGGGAGGCGACUGUUUACUAAAAACAUAGGAGGCUGCAAGCCCGAAAGGGUGUAAACAGCCUUUGAGUCCUGGCCAGUGGCGGUACCUGAAACCUGGGUACAACCGGGCUAAGGGCCGCUAAACGCCGGGAGUAACUCUGACUCUCUUAAGGUAGCCAAAUGCCUUGUCGGGUAAGUUCCGACGUGCAUGAAUGGACCAAUGACCUCCCCGCUGUCCCCGCCUGGGGCCCGGUGAACCCACUUUACCUGGACGAACAGUCCAGGGACACCCAGCGGGGCGAGAAGUCCCCGUGGAGUUUUACUGCAGCUUGUCGCUGGGAUGUGAUUGCGGGUACAGAGUGUAGGUGGGAGCCUUCGAAGCCGGGUCUUCGGGUCCGGUGGAGGCGCCAAUGUAACACCACCUAUCUGCGAUUACAUCUCUUACCAGGGUUGACUCUGGAACAACGGCAGGUAGGCAGUUUGGCUGGGGCGGCACCCCCUCGAAAAAAUAUCGAGGGGGCCCUAAGCUCGACUCAUCCGGGACAGAACCCCGGAGUAGAGUGCAAGAGCAAAAGUCGGGCUGACUGGAUCCUCAACGGCAAGGGAUCCAGAGGCGAAAGCCUGGUCUAGCGAUCCUUUAUGUCCCCUUUGCUGGGGGCUGGAGGUGACAGAAAAAUUACCCCGGGAGUAAUUGGCUCGUCUCCUCCGAGAGUCCUCAUCGACGAGGAGGAUUGGUUCUCCGUCGUCGUCCCUUCCCAUCCUGGGUCCGCAGCAGGACCCAAGGGCGCGGCUGUUCGCCGAUCAAAGGGGAAUGCGAGAUGGGUUUAGACCGUCGCGAGACAGGUCGGCCUCUACCUGCUGGGUGUGUUGGUUGCCUGAGGGGAAGGCGCCCCUAGUACGAGAGGAACGGGGUAUCGUAGCCUCUAGUUUACCGGUUGUCCGACAGGGCACUGCCGGGCAGCCACGCUAUCGAGGAUAAGGGCUGAAAGCAUCUAAGCCCGAAACCUCUCCCGAAAAUAGGCA